GGGGAAUAUUGCGCAAUGGGGGAAACCCUGACGCAGCAAUACCGCGUGAGUGAAGAAGGUUUUCGGAUCGUAAAGCUCUGUUAUUGGGGAAGAAAAAAAGACGGUACCCAAGAAGAAAGUCCCGGCUAACUACGUGCCAGCAGCCGCGGUAAUACGUAGGGGACAAGCGUUGUCCGGAUUUACUGGGCGUAAAGGGCACGCAGGCGGUUUUUUAAGUCAGAUGUGAAAGGUACCGGCUCAACCGGUGACAUGCAUUUGAAACUGAAAGACUUGAGUAUUGGAGAGGCAAGUGGAAUUCCUAGUGUAGCGGUGAAAUGCGUAGAUAUGCGGAGGAACACCGAUGGCGAAGGCAGCCUCCUGGGAUAACACUGACGCUCAUGCACGAAAGCGUGGGGAGCAAACA
rnacentral:rRNA from 1 species